AAAAAACUCAAAAACAACAUUCAGUCAAAAGCCCAACGCGUUCAGAGGAGAAGAAUCGAAGAGAAGGAGAUCUGUAAUCAUUGAAACUCACCCAUGAUUGAAUCAGAGAAAUAAUUGAAGGAUACGGAACCAUUACAAAUUUUGGUACAGAGCAAUGGGCAUUGGGAUGACAACAACUCAGCACAGGCAGAUUUGCAGCAAUCUGGAAACAACCCGGCAACAACUUCCAAGCAACAACUAUCUGCGCACACAAUUGGAUCAGUUCAAGACGAUACAUUUUUUCUAGGAACAGGGACCGUGACAUCAUAAUCAACCAUACAACAACCAGAAAACAACAAAGAAAAAACUACAGCAAUAGAUGAAUAUAAAAACAACUAAAAAAAAACUCAAUAACAACACAAAAAUAACAUCAACAAA